rnacentral:rRNA from 1 species
GAAGUGAAACAGGAUUAGGUACCCCAGUAAUCUAGGCAGAAAAUGAUGAAUGUCAUAGGUUGAAUACAGACAGGUUAAAUUGACUAUCUAAUGGUAAAUAGGUAGUGUCUGGUGUCUAUAAAUGAAAGUGUAAGCAUUCCACCUCAAGAGUAAUUUGGCAACAUUGGAACUGAAAUCAUUAGACCGUUUCUGAAACCAGUAGUGAAGUAUGUUGUUUAAUUAGAUGAUACACAAAAACCUUACCACAAUUUGAAUAUAUAUAAAAUAUAUUUACAAGCGCUGCACGGCUGUCUACAGUUAAUGUCGUGAGACUUUGGUUAGCUCCAUUAAAUUGACGUAAACCCUAAUUUUAUUUAUAAAUAUAAUUAACAUUGCUAUAUUUGAUGUUUUAAUA